rnacentral:lncRNA from 1 species
AUCGCAUUAGCCUAGAGUAAUACCAUAAGGCAACCGUGACAAUGAAGAUUUUGAAGUUAUUUGAAAGUCAAACAUUUCCCUCAACAGCUCUCUGAUAAUAUUUCGUAGAUAUUAAAUUAUUGAAAUGCAAUAAAUUUUCUAUAAAUAGGAAAAUACAAUGAUAUAUUUGAAUGUUUAUGUCAUUAUGACUUGUUAAAAAAAGAAAUUGGC